rnacentral:rRNA from 1 species
GACAGAGGGUGCAAACGUUGCUCGGAAUUACUGGGCGUAAAGCGCGUGUAGGCGGUGCCGCACGUCCGAUGUGAAAGCCCGGGGCUCAACCCCGGAAGUGCAUUGGAUACGACGGCGCUGGAGUCCUGAAGAGGAGGGCGGAAUUCCCGGUGUAGAGGUGAAAUUCGUAGAUAUCGGGAGGAACACCAGUGGCGAAGGCGGCUCUCUGGACAGGUACUGACGCUGAGACGCGAAAGCGUGGGUAGCAAACAGG